GACGAACCGUGCGAACGUUGUUCGGAUUCACUGGGCUUAAAGGGCGCGUAGGCGGGCUGCCAAGUCAGGGGUGAAAGCUCCCGGCCCAACCGGGAAAGGGCCUUUGAUACUGGCGGCCUCGAGGGAGGUAGGGGCACGCGGAACUUCCGGUGGAGCGGUGAAAUGCGUAGAGAUCGGAAGGAACGCCGGUGGCGAAAGCGGCGUGCUGGACCUCUUCUGACGCUGAGGCGCGAAAGCCAGGGGAGCGAACGGG
rnacentral:rRNA from 1 species